UUGACAGUCUUGGGAUAUAAAGUCCUUUAUUCAUCCACAGAGCAGGCAGAGGAAGUGUCAGUUUCUUCUGCCCUACCAAUUUUGCUCAUCCCUGACCCAGAGAUAUCACCUCUAGUGUGGAGUUUAUCCUCCUUGUCUUUCUAAUCAUGGGGCUUUC
rnacentral:sRNA from 1 species